CACUCAAUCAGAUCAUCCUCCGCCACUUUCUCCACAGGUACAUUCAACUUUUCAACUUGUGCAUGUCUCUUCAACUUCUUAUUUACCGAAGCUGAAGCUGAAGCAAAAGCAAAAUCUUCAGAAUCAUCAUCCACAUAAUGAUCAUCGUACUCAAUCAGAUCAUCUUCCACCUUUACUUUCUCCAAAGGUACAUUCGUCUUUUCAACUUUUGCAUGUCUCUUCAACUUCUUAUUUACCGAAGUUGAAGCUGAAGCAAAAGCAGAAUCUUCACAAUCAUCGUCCACAGAAUUAUCAUCGCACUCAAUCGGAUCACCUUCCACAGGUACAUUAAUCUUUUCAAAUUCUACAUGUCUCUUCGACUUCUUAUAUAACGAAGCAAAAGUAGAGUCUAAUGAAUCGGGUGAGUCCACUACUGCCAUAUAAGGUUUACGUUUGCUCCCCAUUGCUACGGUGAAUUGGGGUAAUAUGGAAAGGGUGAAGUGUUGUGAUAUAUGUAGAGUUUAUCGAGAGUUGUGAGGGAAAUUUUGAAACACAGUGGUGAACGCGGGAACCUCCGGAUUUGAAGCCAUUUUACGUAGUGGAUUGGAUUGUGUACCGUUGAGUCCGCUUAAUGACUAAUUUGAGCUAACGAUUGACAUUUAGUAGGCGUUGGCAUGGAAUAUUUUUCACUUUUUCCAAAAAAAAAUUAUUUCACUUUACAAGUUUUCACGUUUCUCACUUUUAUUUCUCAUACAAAACUUAAAAUAUAAUUUUAAUUUAUAUUUGUAGUCAAACACAGUAUUAACUCUAACUUCAACUUCAAAAAAAAUAUUUUUUCCGUUCCAUUUUAUGUGUUGUUAUUUGACCGAACACGGAGUUUAAGAAAUAAGUAAAGACUUAAUACUUUUUUACCAAAUUGUUCUUCAUUAAAACAAUGUACUAUUAUUAUUUUUAAUUAAAUGGGCCAUUAUAAGUGGAACAAUAAGGGUGAAAGUGUAUCAUGUCUUUAAAUAAUUAUCAAAUAAAAAAAUGUGACAUUCUUUUUGGGACGGAUAAAAAAAAAAUGAUAACACAUAAAAUAAAACGAAGAAAGUAUUAUUUUCAUGGUCAAAUGGGGUUAACAUUGAUUUGAAAUUUUGAAAAGGUACACGUGAAAAGCUUUUUAACACUUGUCCAAAGUAUGUCGUUAAGGACAAUUUGACCGAUGAUGGAUAUAUUUAGCUAAUAUUUUUAAAGUAGAGGAAUAAACUUAGUCCUAAGUAUUACAGCGAUAGUAAAUUUAGCCUCAAAGUAUGACGAAACAUAUAUUUAAUUAAUUUUCAAAGUAAAAAGGUAAUUUAAUUCUUUUUCCCUUUUACUACUCAUUACUUUUAUUUUUACUUUUAGAGGUAGUUUGAUAUGAGGUAUAAAGUAUAAUAAUAGUUUUGGGAUAAAAUACAUGAUAAUUCUUUCAUGUGUUUGAUUGAAGGUAAUUAGUUAGUCUCGAAAUUAUUUAUCUCACAGUUUAUACUAUAGUGAUGGGAUAAUUUAUUCCACAUAUAUAAUGAAAUAACUAAUUCUGAAAUUAAUUAUCUCGAGAUAACUUGAUUCGAUCAAACGAUCACUUGUUACAUUUCGUCUCUCGAAAGUCAAAAUGUAUGAGUUUUGACUAACAUCUUAAAAUAUUUUUUUAUCAUAUUAAUAUAAGAAGAAUAGUAACUUAUAUCAUUUUUCAUAUAGAUUUCGAAUAUCUAGAAUUUAAAUUUUAAAAUAUUUGAUUAAUCCGUUUCAAUUUAGUUCAAGUUUAGUCAAAUUUAUAAAACAAAAAAUAUUGAGUGAAAAUGAACUGAGCUAGUAUUUUGGUUAGUGAUUGAUUAGUUGUAUAUGUGUUUGCCGGUUUGAUAACAACUGAAUAAGUCUACUUUGAAAAUAUCUUUUAAAAAAGUUUCUUAAAAGAAAUGAGGACAAUAAUUUUUUAAAUUAAUGUACGAAAAAUAAGUUAUACUACAUUUUAGCAUUUCACAUUGAUAUAACUUAUUUGAUCAAACUUAUAGAAACCCGUGGUGAAAUCCAUUCAAGGAAUGUAAAUUAAGGAAGCAUUUACUAUAAAUAUGCUUCAUUAAAAUAUUACUAGCUCGUACUAUUAAUUGGAACAAAUCAAUAAUACUGAUAUCUUGAGGCUUUUAGCCGUAGGUGACACAAGUCUUAAUAUUGAGUGGAGAUGACAAUUACUUUAUUAUGAAUUAAGAAAGUUUGGUAAGUUUGAGAAUAGCCCACAAGUUUUAAAAUUUAUACUUUGAUCCAAAUAUUUACCUAAUAUAACGGAAAACGGAGGGCAAAAAGGCGCAUUUCUCUCUCUUCUCAUCCAUUGUUGUUUUCUCUCUCUUAGCGAUUUUUGUUGUUCAUUGUUGCUGCUGAUUUAUUCAUCAUCUUCUACUUCAUUAUCAUCUUCAUCUUCUUCUUAUUGACUAUUGUCGUUGUUGUUGUUGUUACCGCUACUGUUGUUAUUUGACCAAUUUCUUAGGUCAAAUUUUAUUUCGUACAUCACUUUUCACUUUGGCAUUACUUCAUAGGAGACUUUGGUAAGUCAAAUUAUGAUUUUUAGUUGAAUUUUUCAUCUGGGUAACUACUAUUGUGCUGUUUUUUCAACAAUGGAUAGAACUCAAUCAUGAAUCCAACAUAAGAUCUAUCUGUUUAAACAGAUAAAUCAUUUGUUGCAACAAAUGAGACAUCUGUUUCAACGAAAGACUGAUAAGUUGGAUUCAUGUUUAUAGUUCUAUAGGUCGUAACAUGAAUUGAAUAGAUGGUCAUCUAUUGCAACAGAUGAUUUAUCUGUUUAAACAGAUUAGUUAUCUAGUGCAAUGUAAUAAAUAUAUGUUGCAACAGAUUAUUAAUCUGUUGCAACAGAACCUGAACUCGAUUCCAACAGACGUGUUGCCUAUUGUAACAGGGUAAAUAUUUAUUGCAACAGAUUAUUAACCUGUUGCAACAGAACCUGAACUCGAUCCCAACAGACGAUAAAUAUCUGUUGAAACAUAUUAGUAACCUAUUGCGAUAGAACCUGACCUCAAUUCCAACAGAUCAUAGUCUGUUGCAACAGGUAAGUCAUUUGUUGCAACAGGUUAAUUAUCUGUUGGAACAUGUCACUAUCUGUUGGAAUCAGCUUCAAAGGUGCCUCAGUACUGUAACAUCAAUCCCAACAGAUAUAUAGUCUGUUACAACAUAUGAUUCACCUGUUAUAACAGAUACUCGUCUGUUGAAAUCAGCUUCAGGAGCAUAACAUGAAUCCCAAUAGGUAAGCAAUCUAUUACGACUGAUUACACAUCUGUUGGGAUUCGUUUACGGUACUAUGAAAUCACAAUUAAUUUUUUUUAACAAAUGACUUUAUUUAGGUACCACUAAUAAAGGAAUCAAUAACAAUAGGGGUGGAUUAUCAUGCUCAAUGGAUCGAGAAGAGCAAUCGAUAUGUAUGGCAUUGGAACGAGGGUGAAAUGCUAGAGACGAUAGCUAUGACAGUCCAAAGUGAUGUUUCGUAUGAUGAUUUUCUGAACUUAAUCAUCAAUUAUUAUGGACUGAAUUAUCAAUCGGAAGAACUCAUCAUUAGCUACUGCACAGCUCCUUUAAAAAUCAGAGGGUACUGCCUUUCAAGAUAACCGAUCAGGUUCGGUUGCGUGCUUAUCUUAGUCAUUCAUCCAGGCCUGUGUUAAAGGUGUACGUGGUUGAAAAGACGAGAGAGAAUAAGAACCAGAACGUAGAAGAAGAACAACAACAAGACAUCUUUGAUGAUAGGUUGGAUGAUCUAGACAUGAAUAGUCCAGAUGAUGAUCAAACACCUACGCCCGUUGAUGCGACCAAUACGAUGUGCAGUUCUUCUCAAUCGACACAGUCUGGAAAUUUUCAAGACAACGGGACCGAUUUUUGUAUUGGAAUGUCAUUCAAGGAUAAGAAUGAACUAUCUACCAGUUUGUUUAUUUCUUUCUUGAAAAAAAGAUUUCAUAAUAAAGAAGGUGAUUAAUUUGAGCAUUAUCUUUUGCUUCAAAUGUACUAAUUCAAACUGCAAGUAAUGGUUGAGAGCGGUGAAGUCUGCAAGUUCUGACAGAUUCUUUAUUCAUAAACAUAAAAAGCAUCACACAUGUGGUUCGGAGCACAUCUCAAGCCAAAAUCCUCACACCACGGCAAAGGUCCUCGGUGAAUAUUUCAGGAGUAGUUUCCCCGAUGGCAAAGGGUCUUCAACAAGGGGUUAUGACCAAUCAACUCCUUACGGAAUUGGGUGUCCUGAUCAGUUAUUGGAAGAUAUAUACGGCCAUAGGGAUUGCCAAGGACUUGGUUAGGGGGACACUCGAGCAUGGGUAUGCAGUCCUGGAUGCCUGCCGUUAUGUGAUUGAGUCCACAAAUCCCGAAAGUAAGACGGCAUUGUAUCUUGAUGAAAACGGAAGGUUCAAGUACUUUUUUGUUUCCUAUAGUGCUUGGAUUCAAGGUUUUCGACAUUUGAGAAAAGGCAUAGCUGUAGAUGGUACCUUUUUGAAGAGCAGGUAUAAUGGAGUUCUGCCAGCGGCGAUGGCGCUGGAUGCGGAGAAUCACAUCUUUCUUGUUGCUUUUUGUGUAGCGGACAAGGAAUGUGAUGCCUCUUAUAGAUUUUUUUUUGGACAACUGUGAAGUUGUGUCAAAGAUACCGAAGAGUUGUGUUUUGUAUCGGAUAGGCAUCCAAGUAUUCCAAAGAUGGGUUCACAUUUCUUCACUUCAGCUUACUUUGGUUAUUGCAUCAGGCAUCUUGGAGAGAACAUUUGGACCAACUAUCAUAACAAAAAGUUUGUGACCCUUUUUUAUAGAGCAGCUAAAGCGUAUAGUAGAGAGGAGUUUUUAGACCAUUUCAAUCAAAUAACGGAUGUGAAUCCCAAGGUAGCAGAAUUUCUCGUACGUGUCGGUUUCAAGAGAUGAACCCGAGCAUUUUGUCCGAUAAAUAGGUACAUUCUUGUCGAUUUUAAUGUCUUAUUUAAGUUGCAAAUUUAGUAUGAUGUCGAACUAAGUGAUUUCUUUAUAUAGGUGCAAUAUUAUGAAAUCAAACAUAGCUGAAUCAUUGAAUUCAUUAUUUGGCAAUGAAAGAGAAUUUUCCAUCAAGACUAUGAUACAAGAAAACCAAGGAACACACGAAAUUGGCUCAAAACAGUCUAAACACACUCCAAAAAUAGUCCACUAAUUCAAAGAAUCGAGGACCCUUUUGAAGACCACUCUCGGAUUCAAGAAUGAAAUACAAAAAGGACAAUAUAACUAGGUGUUUGAAACCUUUUGCAGCUAAUAACAAACUAAAUUAACAACACAAGAUGAAACAACAAUGAGAAGAAGAAGAACAACAACAAAAACGGCUUCACAAUACAAGAUACAAUAUGGAUACAAGAUUACAAAAGAAAAAGGACAGAUAGAUAGACCACAUGAAAGUAUAAUGUUAAGAACCCAAUAAUGGUAACUCUUGGACCCUUAACACUACACACAACAAUAAACCUAUCUCUUACAAAUACACAAGAUCGGAAUCCACCUCUCAAGAAUCAAUGUUUCCAAGAAAAUGCAAACACAAGUGAUUUUACACUUGUCUAAGCCCUAAUUUCGAUUUUGGGUGCCUCAAGGAAAGAGGACUUGUGUUUAUUUGUAUUGUAAGACUUACAAUUUUAUUCAUAAACUAAGUAAAUAAAACCCUACAUGUUCCUUAUAUAUUACAAAACAAAUAGAAGUUAAAAUGACCAAAAAGGCCCUUCAAGAAUGGGCUGCCCCCUAGUGUAUGGAGUGGGCUAUUUUGGUGUGUAUUUGGGCCUUUAAUUACACUUCUCUUGCACAUUCAAUUGGUUGCUUCUAAUGCACACCCACAGAAAUUUAUUUCCGUGAUCAUUCUCGUAUCAUCCUCUCCAUCUUGAGAAGAAUUUGCCCACAAAUUCACGGCUUCACUUCGUUCAAUUGGCCACUUCAAAAACAAGCACUCAAAAUAGUCUGCAAAAUAUGAAGAACCCGAGAGCUCAAUAUGAAUAAGUCUCGGCCAACAUCUUCAUUUUGAACCUCGGCUUUCUCUCCAUCUUGAGACUUGGCUUCAAUCUUAUCCGACUCAAGUCUCCUUCCAUCAUAUAAGCAUCAUCGUAACUCCAUACACUUCAUGUCCCUUUCUUUCAUACUCCUCUAUAUGGACAUAUCGGUUUUGUAGAAGUGGAGUUUCGGUUGAGGAGGCUAUUUUGGUAAUGUAGAGCUUCGGUUGUGGAGCUUGGAUAGGAGGAAAUGGGCCUCCAAGUCCUUCUUGUGGGACUUGAUCAACUUGCGGGAGAAGUGAUCUACCUUGUUCUCGAUUUUGAGGGUAAUUAGUAACUUGGCUCAUGGAAUUUUGUGGUGAACUUUAAGGGUUGACUUUUUUAUACAAAGUCUCUGGGGCAGUGGUGAUAGAAGGGUUUUGUUCAUGACCACUUGAGGAAACAUGGAGUCGAGGAGUAGAAGAACGAGAGUUCCUUCGACUCUCCAUUCGAUCCAACCUCUCAUUCAUAGUAGACGUCUCUCCUCAGAUUGAGAAAUAGUUGUGAGCAUACUUUCCAUUCCUCGGUUGAUAGUUUCAAGUCUUUCCAAGAUAGCACCAAGAGCAUUGUUGUCCAUUGUAGCCAAGAAGUUACCUACAAAAUAAUAAACAAGUUAAUUGUUCAAAGAAUGGUCCUCACACUCUCUCUUUAAUCCUUUAUCCCUCGGAUUUUCUCACUUUUCAUCUCACAAUUAUUGUAAGUUUGCUUGUAAUCUGUGAGACGUUGAGAGGUGAACCGAGUGUGUACAAUGACUCAAAAUAAUAAAAACACACAAAGAAAUGUAAACAAGGAAAAAAUGGUUUCAAAACCAACUCACAAUCUAGUAAAUUGUCACUAGUUUGUAAGUUAGUAUUAGAAUCAACAAACGAACUAAUGAGACAACAAAAUGAAACUAAAAGAUCACAAUUUGAGCUUAAAAUUUUUGUGUGAACAGUAACUUGGGUAACGUGGCAGCACACCAUUGGUCACAGCCCCACAAUUAGUCAUUAGUUGAAGUUUACAAACUUUAGUUACUAUUUAAUGGAAACAAUUGGUUUUGGAGGGAAAGUAUAUGUCUUGAAUCUCCUUUAAGUCUAAUCUUCAAAAGGCAAGACUUGAGUUUGUACAAAUCUCACAAAACAAGGUCCCUUGAAAUAAGGAAAAGUUGUUGAAAUGUAGAUGUCAAGUCAAGGAAGUGAUGACUCAAGUCUUCUCACAAACAACUUUACAAAAAAAAUAUGAUAGAUAGAUAGACCACAUGAAAAUAUAAUGUUAAGAACCCAAUAAUGGUAACUCUUGGACCCUUAACACUAUACACAACAAUAAACCUAUCUCUUACAAAGACACAAGAUCGGAAUCCACCUUCCAAGAAUCAAUGUUUCCAAGCAAAUACAAACACAAGUGAUUCUACGCUUGUCUAAGCCUUAAUUUCGGUUUUGGGUGCCUCAAGGAAAGAGGACUUGUGUUUAUUUGUCUUGUAAUACUUACAAUUUCAUUCAUAAACUAAGUAAAUAAAACCCUAUAUGUUCCUUAUAUAUUACAAAACAAAUAGAAGUUAAAAUGACCAAAAAGUCUCUUCAAGAAUGGGUUGUCCAUCUAGUGUAUGGAGUGAGCUAUUUUGGUGUGUAUUUGGGCCUUUAAUUACACUUAUCUUGCACAUACACUUGGUUGCUUUCAAUGCACACCCAUAUAAAUUUAUUUACGUGAUUAUUCUUGUAUCAGGCUAUGUUUGAAAAAAUAAGCCAGAAGUAUGGCAAAUUUUUUAACGAAAGGCGUGUGCAAUUCAAGUGCCCAAAAAAAGAACCUGAUUUGUUCUCAAAAUCAAAAAAUAAUAUCAACAAAUUUCAGUUUGGGGAAUAGGUUAUUACCUCAUAAAAUAGCAGAUUACAAAUUCAGUAUCACCGGUCAUGGUGAUGUUGCCAUGGUUGAUCUUCAAAUAAGAUCUUGUAUGUGCAGAGUUUUUGACUUGGACAAAAUACCCUGUCCAUAUGCUAUGACAGAGCUUCGAGAUCAAUACGGUCAUAAAUAUGGAGCUGAAAUUUACGAGCACUCCUCUCAAUAUUAUUCAGUGGAAAAUAUGAAAUGACAUAUAGUGGCAUAUUACUCCGGUGCCUCCCAAAGAAUCUUGGGUUGUUCCUGUAGAGCUUAUGGGGAGAUUAAUAUCUCCUCCAUAUAAGAGGAGGAGUGGAGUCGAAGAAUUAUUUUCAUCAAGAAGAAACAAGUGCUCUGUAUGUAAGUCACUGGCCACAAAAGAGCUACAUGCCCAGAUUGUAAUCCACCAUGAUCAUUGUAAUUGCAGAAACUUGUAUAGUUGUUUAUUGUGGACUUUUAUAUAUUUAACUCAUUGUUGUGAACGUAAUGUUAUCAUUUAUUAUAUAUAAAAUAUAUUUUUAAUAACUUGUGCAUCAAUAAAAAGAGACAAAACAUGAACUGUUAAACAAUACAACAGACCACAAGUAUUUUCAAUAGAUUACCCAUCUAUGGCAACAGAUGGACAUUAACUGGAAGAACAUAACACAGUUCCAUAAAAUUGGAAUAUUUUUCUCCAAUAGAUGAUAAAUCUGUUGCAACAGAUAGAUAAUCUGUUGAUAGAAACCCAAUUGUUGAUCAAUCUAUUCCAACACAUGGUCCAUCUGUUGAAAGAACUCAAAAGCCAAAAUUGUUAUUGCUACUGGAUUCAAAAUUUCUCCUUACCUUCAGCCGUCGAUAUAUUAACAUGUAAAAUAUUUAGAAGAAGAAACAGACAGAAUGAAAAUUGAAUAAGAAUUAAAAAGCUAAAGUCGACUAAAAAUAAAUUUUUCAUUAAACGAAAAAUAAAAUACAUUAGGUAUAAAUCCGAUAUAAAAAAAUUAAAAUACAUAGCUAAAAUAAAAAACACAUUCUAAUUAUUAUUAUUAUCAUAAUCAUCAUCAUUAAUGACAGCCGGCCAAUCAACUCGCAGCAGCAGCGUCCUCAUCAGCCUCUGCAUCUCUCUGAACAUCGUCGCUCUCACGGCGACCAACUCCCUUUGUAGGUCAUUAACCUACCUCUGAAAUUUUCGAACUGUGUCACGUAGAAUAGCAAUAUCCCAAAUAGGAUCAACCAUAUCUAGAACGCGCAUAAAUUGACAAAUGUAAAGAAAAGAGUCCUAAUGUAAUACAACGUAUACUACAAACUAGUAGAUUUACACCGGAAAAAAACUUAACUCAACGACUAAGGAAUAUGCUCUUUGAAGAGAAGUUGUUGAAGAUAUCACACGAAAAGAAAAAAUGGAAUAAAUAAAUAAAGUUUAGCAGAAUGAAGAUUAAGGAGGGACCUAUUUAUAGAGAAUUGAAUCUGGAUGUAUAAGGACAAAAGGCAAGUCUAUUAAGCUCCAUUGUAUUAAUUAUAUUCAAACUGGUGGCAUUUUAUUUUUUGUGAAAAGUCGUGACUUUUUUGUUUACAUUAAUACUUCUCACCUUUUCAAAAUGGUUUUGAGAAGACUUGAUAACAGUCGUUAUUAUUGAGCUGUUACAAUAGAUCGUCCAUUUGUCACAACAGAUUUACCAACUGUUGCAACAUAUAGAUUAUCUGUUGCAACAGAUGGACCAUAUGUUGGGGAUGUUUUGAUUUCUUCUAACAGUUGUUCAUCAGUUGUAACAAAUGUAGAAUUUGAUUCAUCAACUGUUUUGAAUGUGUUAGAUAAAAAGUCAUGACUCCACCUCUUUUUUAAUAGUCAUCACAUGCGUGCAGAUGAAUAAACAAUGUCUGGUCUGUCGCAACAGAUUAUAAAUCUGUUGCGACAGAUAGACCAUAUGUUGGAGGAGAUGUUUUAAUUUCUUCCAACAGCUGAUUCUUCAAUUGCAACAGAUGGAGAUUUUGAUUCAUCAACUAUUUUGAAUGUUUUCAGAUAACAAAGUCAUGACUCUUCACACCUCUUUUUUAAUAGUCAUCACAUGCAUGCAGAUGAAUAAAUAACAAUGUAGUGUCUUUGAUGGGGUAGGAAGAAUAAGGUGUGUGCAAUGGAUCCAUUUUCAUGCGUAGGAGUUAUGUAUUAUUAAUCAGUCUACCGCAACAGACACACAUAAAGUGCAAUAAUUUUGUGAAUGCAGUUUUUUACUAAUUAGACACUGAUCCUUCAAACAACAUCCUGUAUUAUAUAGUUUAGUUUGAUAGGUAUGAACUGAUAAGGCUGAAGAGUUCCAAGAUGGUGGUGUCGAUACUCUGUUACAAUUUAAUGAUGAUCUAGCUCAUGUUUCUGUGUCAAGAUUGGGGAAGGGUUCAAGUUUUUGGCAACAGUGUAAAUAUCCAAUAGUGAUUGGACCGAUUUUAAUGGAGCAAUGGACUUCUUGAAAGGACUUCAAAGCCUCUCAUUGCAGCAAAUAACGAUGGAACCAAUAGAAAUUCCCCUAUUCCAAAUUUAUAUGGAUAGAUUGAUGGAGGAGACUUUGAUACAACAAAAGGUGCUUGGGAGAAUACCUGUGCGGGAAGGGGGGUGGAGAAAGCCAUAUAUCAUCUCAGACCUUGUUUAAGAGAAAACACAGGGUAGGAAGGAAAGUGUAGCGAAAUUGGCUAUGAAAUUAACAUGAAAAAUGAAAAAGCUGGAUGAGCUGCGAAUGUGAAAGGGUAUCCAAAAAUAAAAAUCCAUCAACCGUUGAAGUAAAAGAAAAAUGGUCAACAGGACUGGAGCUGGACACUUUGCUAGAGAAUGCAACUAGUGAGCGUGGCCUCAAUGAAGACUUUCACAAAAUGCAGGAACAAAACUCUAAGGAAGAAGUUUCACGAGCACAGGAAAUUGAUACGAUUAUCGGUCAGUUAAAACUUAAACCAACUACUCCUAAAUUAAAAAUACGGGAUCAAGCCAAGGUGCAAAUUUCUCAAGUUAAACUUUCAUCCCAUGCCUCCUAUUUAUGGCUUUAUUCAGGUCAAAGGCAAUGGAAACAACAAGGCAUGGGAUUUCUGCUCAACUUCAGACCUUUUUGGAUACACUUCCACAUUUGAAGCUCAUCUAGUUUUUCCGUUUCUCAUGUCAAUUUUAUUGGUCAGAUUCUCUAGAAUUUACUUGCUCGUUCCCCUGUGUUUUCUUUUAAACAAGGUUUGAGAUGAUAUAUGGCCUUCUCCACCUCUCUCUUCUCGCACAGGUAUUCUCUCAAUCACCUACUGUUGUAUAAUAGUCUCCUCUAGCAACUCAUCCAUAUAAAUUUAGACCAGGGGAAUUUCUAUUGGUUUCAUCGGUGUUUGCUGCAGUGCGAGGCUUCGGAGGCCUUUCAAGAAGUCCAUUGAGCCAUCAAAAUCAGUCCAAUCAAUAUUGGAUAUUUAUACUACCGCUAAAAACUUAAACCCUUCCCCAAACUUGACACAAAAACAUGAGCAUAAACGAUCAUUAAAUUAUAACAGGGUAUCGACACCACCUACUUGGUCCCUCAGUCUUACCAGUUCGAACCUAACAAUCUUAACUAUAAAAUGUCAUAUCUUGUUUGAAGAAUUAACGUUAAUAGGUAAAGAAUAAACAUUCACAAAAUCAUUGUACUGAAUGUGUGUUUUCAUGAUAGGUUAAUUAGUAAUACAUACCUCCCACAUAUGAAGUGGUUCUAUCUGCAAGCAGCUUAUUCCUCCGAACCCAUCUUUACUCUAGCCUUUAAUGUUAGUCGAGAAAAAAUAGACCCAGUAUCACUUUAUUUUAUCUACAAACAAGAGAAAUACAUUUGAUGUCAAAUAAGAGAAGAAUAAAAAGAACAUUACAAAAGGGUAACACAAAAUUGAGAAAAUCAACAGAUGACUAAUCUGAUGCAACAGAUUGCCCAUCUGCUCAACCGAUGAGGCAUCUAUUACAACAGAUGGAUGACAUGUUGUAAAAGAUCGGUCAGCUAUUGGAAUAAAUCAAACCAGUCUUGCUACUGAUUUGAUUUCUUCAAACAGUUGCUCCGUUUGUACAAAAAGGUAACACAAAAUUGAGUGAAUCAACAGAUUAUCCAUCUGUUCAAUCGAUGAGGCAUUUUGCAACAAAUAUAAAAAUAAAGAUUCAUUCAUUCAAGACUUAAUUCAACUGUCCUUCAAUGUUCUCAAUAAAUAGAAAACUAAUAAUUGUUAAAUCAUCAAUAGCAACAGAUGUAAAUAUCUAAUUUAAAUGACAUACAAAGAAGAAUACGAGAUGGAAAGAACAAUAGUGAACCAUACCUGCAAUAUGAAAAAAUCAAAGGGAUCAGAACAUCCAGUUCAGUCGAGAAAAGAUAUUUAUCAAAUGAGAUCCGAAAGGAUCCCCAUCCGAUAGAAGAGAAAAAAAAGCAAAAAGGAAAGAAAGAGAAUUGAGAAUAAAGAAGAAAGAGUGAUAGAUGAGUUUAGUUGUCUUGAGUUUUACUUAUGUUAUGGCUGAACAAGAGAGUAUUCUUCUAGAUAUGGGUUUUUAAUAUUCAUUAAUAACUUUUGAGAGGCACGAGGAGACGGUGACAUUGAAAAGACCAAAUAAAACUACUCGCUUAGGAGAUUUUUGAGUUAUCCAAGUAAUAUUUUUUACCGCCUUAGUAUUUUAACUUUUUUUUAUAUCGAAAAGGAAAUACCCAAAUUUCUUUUAUAAAAAAAAGUGUCUUAAAACAUUGAAAUGCAACAGAUAACAAUUUCUAUUUGAAAAUUUCCAAAACUCGAUCAUCCAUCGCAACAGACGUGUAAUAUGUUGCAACAUAUGACUUAAUAUUUUUGAUUAAUUCCAACAGAAAAUACAUCUUUUGCAACAGGUUUAACAUUUGCUUUUAUACAAUUUCAAUUGAUUUCACAUGUUAGACUAAUACCUUUAGGGGUUGUUUGGUAGAGUGUAUUGUAAAAUAUAAUGCAUGCAUUAGUUAAUGUGUAUUGCUAGUACCUUGUUUGGUAUGACUUUUUGCCUAUGUAUAACUAAUGAAAGCAUUAGUUAUACACUCUAUUAUGUAUUGAAGGGUGUAUUAGUAAUACGCUCUAUUUCCUAUGUAUUAGUAAUACAAAGACUUUAAAAACAUGCAUUAACUUAUUAAAUGACCUUAAUACCCCUUAAUUUCCCUCUCAAAAUAUUUCACCAUUCCUUUUUCUGCUAUUUUAAUUUGCACUAGUGAAUCGUUUCAAAACAUUUCACAAUUUCUUUUCCCACUAUUUGAAUUUACAACAAUGAAUGGUUGAUUUAAAUAAUUAUAACAUAUUUUUUCUUUGCUUCGAGAGUCUUUAAAACGUUUUAAAAAAAUUGAGACUAUUUCUUAAUUUUACGUCUUGUAUUUUAUUUUUGUUUCGACUAUGUUAAUUCGCAGGCGUAACAUUUUUGUGCAAAGACAAAGGUCUUGCCAUUAAUCCUAAAACUCUAUGUAAUAGUUCAACAAUAUUGUUUAUGUUUGAAAUAACAAAAGAACUUUGUUGCAAAAAAGUGUACAAAAUCAAAGAAGGGUAUUUUUGUAAACAAAAAUUUCUUUUAUAGAAAUUAUGUAAGAUGUAUUAUUUCUUAUACAUCAAACCAAUUACUAAUACACUAUAUUUUGCAUUAUUUUUAUACACUCUACCAAACGACCCCUAAUUGAUUAAUCUAGGACCAGGGGUGAGUUCUCAUAGGGUCAACUACAACUUUAAUUGAUUCUUUUGGCAAUUGAAUAAUGAGACGGUAUUGCGUUCCUCCCAACCAGAGUCAUUGAUCGAUCACUCUGAGCUGAACCGAUUCUUACCACCUCAUAUGUUAGACCAAUACCUUAAUUGAUUAAUCUAGGACCAGAAGUGAGUUCUCAUAGGGUCAACUACAACUUCAAUUGAGUCUUUUGGAAAUCGAAUGAUGAGACAGUAUUGCGUUCCUCCCGAUCAGAGUCGUUGAUCGAUCACUCUUAGCUGAACCGAUUCUUACCACCUCAUAUGUUAGACCAAUACCUUAAUUGAUUAAUCUUGGACCAAGGGUGAAUUCUCAUAGGGUCAACUACAACAGAUGACAGCCCCUAUUUUAUAAUUUACAAUAGAUGGGUAAUCUACCGCAACAGAUUACUUAAUUUGUUUGAUAAUUUGCAACAUGUUGAACAUUUAUUUUUAUACAAUUUCAAUUGAGUUCAUAUACCUAAAUUGAUUAAUCUAGGACCAGGGUUGGAUAAGUUCGUAGGGUCAACUACAACUUCAAUUGAGUUUUUUGGCAAUUGCAUGAUGAGAGGGUUAAAAAUUAUUCAUAUCUUUUAUAAUUUUAAAAAAUAAUUAAGAUCAAUUCGGACCAAAUUAACAUUCUUAAAACUUUUCAUUCUUUUCCAAAGUACAAAUCAACCCAUACAAAUCAUCCAUUUGCGAGAAAAAUAUUUCAUCAUUUCAAAUCUCGAGUUCUCACUCUUUUCUCUUUCUCACUCAAUUAUACAGUACAGACAACAACUACAACUACUCAACAAAUUGCCCUACCCUUCACAACAGAUCAAUUUUCUUCUCAUUUCCGACCAUAUAGGUGUUAUUUUUUACUUCAUUCUUGCUUGUAUCAGUCGUUUUCUCUAUUUUCGUGGGUAACAAAGUUCAAAAAGAGUUCUAUAUUUGUUAUUUUUUCUAAAAAUUAAGGGUUUUUAAGUUAAUGAUGAAAAAAAACUUUUAGUUUGUAUUAUCUUCGAGACUGAGAUUACAAUUUUGAGUUUUGAUGCUACAAUUGUAGAAAAAACUCAAGAAAACCCUAGUUUCCAUUACAGUGCUUCGGUGACUGUCGUGGUAUUGUUGGAUGGUGUUGUGGUGUUUGUGGUGGUGGUGGUCAUUGUCGUUAUGGUGGCACUGAUGGUGGCUGUUGGUGGCAUUGGUUGGUGGUGUUUGUGGUGGCAUUGGUUUGUGGUAUUUGUGGUGGUGUCGAUAUUCAUGGUGUUUAUGGCAUUGGUUGGUGGUGGCUGUUGGUGUGUCGUCAUUGGUGGUGUUUGUAAUAUAUUUUUAAAAAUUUAUACAUACAUUAAUUGUAAUGUAAUUUUUUUUCUAUUGUUUGCAGGUAAAACGUAUCUCCUAAAAGAAAACAAAAGAAAGUGAAAGUGGAUCAACAUCUGACCACCCCCAAAAAAAGGCUACAAAAUAGAGGGAUUCGGAGGAGCUUCUUGAACAAUCUCAAUCAGGGAAACAAAGUGAAGCUGAGAAGAGAUAUGAAAAUAAUAUUGAGGGAGGUGGACAAAGGUCUGUAGAUGGUGAUGAAGAAAAUAAAAGUAAGAAAUAAGAAGAAUUAGAGAAUAAGAAAGAGAAAGAAAAAGAGGAUGAUCAUCAACAUGAUGAUAAUAGAUCACCAAUGGGGCAUGAAUUAAUAUCGACAUCCCAGCAUGAUCCUAUCAAAACUUUUAGUAUUGACAAGUUUUAAGUUGCGAUGCUGAUAAAUGACAAAAAUGCAGA
rnacentral:lncRNA from 1 species